rnacentral:lncRNA from 10 species
CUUCUCCUGUCAGAUGCACACAGGGGGCCCUCUGUUGCACAAUCUGCACUUGUUCCUCAUGCAACAGAGAUUCAACUCACAGAUACGAGAUCCAGACUGCAGAUCAGAGGGGAGACUGACUUCUGCCCUUCAUUUGAGCCAAAGAAUACUUAUCUCCUUAUUUCCAACUUCUCAAGUUGCAGCUAGACCUGGGGAGAUGUAAAUAUAACCCAAGGUUGGAGCCUCUGUAGCACUCGAUCUGCAGAAACCAAGUCUACUUCCUUUCCUGAGAUAGUCCGAACAGGAAAAGGAAGCACACAGUAGCCAUCACCCCACUCUGUAUUCUUACAGAGCUUGGCAACAGAAUACCAUGAUCUCUGCUGGUAAGACGCUGCUUGCCCUGUUGGACUGGUAUUGGUGAUCUCCUUAGAUUUAAAAAAAAAACUCUGGAUGGAUAUGCACCAAAACAUUAAUCAUGGCUAUCUCUGGGUGGUAAGAAAACACAUGAUUUCAAUUUUCUCUUUUAUUAUAUUUUCCAAAUAUUCUGCAGUGACACGUAUUACCUUUUUACACAGGAGGAAAAAAAAGGUUUUCUUUUUUUGUUUUGUUUAAAACUUACCAAGACAUACCAUUAUCCUUCCCGUGUUUCUGUUUCAGUAAAUUCUCUUUUUCUCUUUUCCAAAUCCAGCCUGUUGAAAAGAGUGUUCUCUCUACAAAGGAGGACAAAUCUAAAGACCAAAUUCUAAGAGAAAAUAUUUUUAAAGGGUUUUAAAAUCUGUUAUACCAUAAAAAAGCAAGGUAUUGAAAUCAGAUCCUUUAUAGCAUAGAAAAAAUAAGUGAUUUAUUAAUGAUAUCAGGAAUUGAGAUUUUCACAGCACCAUGAGAAUGAUAAAGUAAAAUUCUAAGUUAAAAAUUAUAAGAUAAAAAAUUAAAUUAAUAUAAAGUUAAAACUCAAUUGGAAAAUGUAGAUCAAAACCACACAGAGGGGCUGGGCUCAGUGGCUCACGCCUGUAAUCCCAGCACUUUG